CUGUCCUCCAGGCUCAGCCUGCACACUGCCUCCUCAGAGAUGGUUCCUAUGACUCCAGGUUGUUCCUUGAGGCUUCACCCUCCUCCAGCCUCCUCCCUGGCCCAACCACGAGUCACACAACCUCCAGGCUGUACAAGUCAAAGACUGCGCUCCAGAGAGAAAGCAGCUGGCCUUGGGUCCUGGUGGAGGAGAGAGGAAGCCCUUGUCAGCCUCUCUGGGGCUCACCGUGUGGUCCCUCAAUGGAAGUCCAUCUGUGGUGCCUCAGGAUAAAGCCAGAUGCCCAUCAACCACCUGCUCAGCCCCUCCCACCUCUCUACCCUCACUGCAUGCUCCACCCAACGAGUGCAACUUCACAGCCACUCUCCCACCCUGUUCUGUGUAGUCCCCUUGCCUAACAAAUACUAUGAGGAAUGGGGGGAUUCCCAACCUCUGACCCUCCCGACCUCUGACCCUCCGGACCUCUGACCCUCCCGACCCUGAACUUGGUCUUAAAUGUCUCUAUCCUUUAUAGUCGCCUGAUCUCUGAACAGGAACUUCCUCCUCGGGCCAGUUUCAUCUCCCCUGGGGCCCCCGUCUUGUUCUAGCUGGGGGAUCUGAAUUCCUGGAGGAAAGACCUAUUUAUGUCCUCUCUUCAUCAGGUACAAUGGGCAGAAAGACAUGGGCAGUUAUGUGUGCACGUGUCACCACUGACAAUGUGUGUACACAUAGUAAUGAAUAUUCUGAGGAUGGGUGCCCUGUGGAUCUAUGGCUGUGUAUCCGUG
rnacentral:lncRNA from 1 species